UUCACCUUAAAAUCAAGAUUUUCCUUAUUCACAUCAGUCUAAAAACUGAGACUUUCUCUUCUUCCAAUUUGGCCCCUCUGUUUCUCUCUGAGAUUUGGGGCUUUUCAAGAAUUCAAAAUUGGAAUUCUUGAAGCCUCUAUUGAUAGCCGUUGAGCACGUCAAUUUGGCUAUAAAAGAGCCCUUUUGGACUCUCAUUUCUUUCAGCAGCAAGAAAAAGAAGCAAGAAGCAGGAAUCAUUAAAAAGAGGUUAUUAAAUUAGCGCAAACAAGUUCAUACUACUACUUCGGCUAUUUUCUGCCUUCUUUCCGAGUUCGAGCGCAAGUCCUAGUUCGGAUUCUCGAUGAGGACGCCCCUAGUUCGCAGCUCCGAAAAAGGUGCGAACCCGUCCUCUUUCAUUUUAUUUUCUUUUUCUUUUCCUUUCCUUCAUCUAUUUUGAUUCUACGAGCAUGGGACACCUUGAUUUGAGUUUGUGUUGUUGUUGCUGUUUUUGGUCUUGUGGAUAAAAUUGUAAUUUUGAUUCCAAAAAAUGUUUUGUGUGAGAACAUGUGGUUAUGUGGAUAUGUGUGUAUAGGUGUUGGUCGUUCCUAGUUUUAUGUUUCUUUCAUUUUUCAUGUUUCGAUGCGUUUGGAAUUGGUUUUGUGAACACCUAUAAGAGCAAAUCCUUUCCCGUCUUAAUUACGUUACACUUAGUUUUGUUAAUUGUUUAUCGGUGGUUAGUUGGGAUGAUAGCCGACUGGUUUUGGAUAUACAGAUGUGAAAAAAAUCAUUUUAUUAUUUCGGGAUUAUGUGUGCUUGCGACUUGCGAUUUAACUGAGUAAAUUCUAUGAAUUUUUAAGUAUUUUUUAGUGUGAUUGGCUGCCUAUUUUGGGAUAAUCGUAAUGUCGGUUGGGGUGUUUGCACAUCACAGUAGCUGUUUUAGCUCUUUCUAUACUUGUCCAUUUGUUUACAAGGUUUCGGCAACCUUAAUUUAGCAUGAUCAAGGCUCUAAAAGGCUUGGGAACUAAAGCGUAUCCAUUUUAUUUAUUAUGUCAUCUAUGUGUUGUUCUAUUAGCUCGAAAUAAGCUCCAUGAUGUUCGAAAUUUUUUUAGUACAGUUAGCUAAAACUUUCUUGAUAAUUUACUGCCCUCGUCUUAACUUAGUAGUUGCAUGAUUUCGUUGGAACCAAGGCUUAUUGUUUGGUUUCUUGCUUGUUAAUAACUGUGUAUAUCAAUAUAUACAAAAUGCUACUUCGUUGAUCUCAUUCCUUUUCACGUCUGUAAGUUAGAAGUAGUAAACUGUAGGUUACUUCUAUUGUUUGCUGCCAUUCAAAGGGCUUUCCUUCUGUUUAAUCAUUUUCCUCCUAUAUUUAGUGUGAAUUAGAAAGCAUAUAGUACUCAGUGAUUAUGUGAAUGUUUUGGUUUCCUGGUGUGAUGCGGAUAUCUAGUGUUGUUUCUUCUGUAAAAAGAGAUACUCUCCAUGGCAUAAGUGUCUUUAUAUUAUUUAGUUAGUAAAUAUGUUUAAAUCCUCUCAACAGUACAUGUCUUAGGUUCUUUUUGGAUUAAAGUUUUCCUUGAAGCUUCUUCUUAGUAUGAUUCAUCCGGAUUUGCUUUAUGUUCUGUUGUUCAAUUUACGUAGUUCCUUAUUUGGUUAUAGAGAUUUGGUAGAUUAUGUCUUUAAGCCUUUUAUAUGCUUCAGUUUUACCUAUGUUGUAUUGUGAUAAUUCGGGAGUCAGGUUGAAAUGUAUUCUUUCCUAAAAUUGCUUUUGCUGAAAUUUGAAGCCUACUUAUUACUACUAUAGUUGGCAUCCUCCUUUUGUUUAUUUGUUCGCAAGCUACAACUCUUUGAAAGAAGCUAUUUUCAAUCGGUACAUAGAUCACUUUGGGGACUUUGAAUUAGUCGGUUGCAAGUCUUAGGUUAGCCAUCUAGUUAAAGAAAGAUUCUCAAUUUCUAACUUGGCACGAAAGGCCUUACAAGAGUGGUUAUCUGUAUGUUCUUGAGUUCACUGUUUUGCUCGGUUUCAUGAUAUGAAUAUGGAAGCAGCAACUUAAAUCUCAAUGUGUUCGAAUAAGUGGGUUCUGCACUACUGUAUGAACAUUUUCCAAUGCGAGUCUCUUGUGUGUAUGCACUUCAAUAUAGUGAAGAGUUCAAACCAUUCAAUAAGAAUAGGUUCCCCGGUAAUUGGUGCUAAGCUGAAAGGAAGGGAUGUUGAGUUGUAAAAUGAUCUUGUGUGUUUGUUUGGCUUGUCAGUUUUGUUUCAUGGACUAAAAGAAGGCUGGUCGGGUUAGUUGUUUUAUCCCAAGUCAUAUUUGUAACAGCUAAUUAGUGAGUAAAUAUGCCGUGUUCAUUUGAUUUGUGUAAGUAUCGAUAAUUUCUUUUACAGACUAUUUAUGAUGUCUUGGAUGAACUGCUCAUGGGAUACUUUCCUGUAAACCUCGUCAAUUGUAUUCGAACAAGUUAAUAUAAUGUAAGCAUGCUUAGAUUGGUUUGAAAGUAUCGAAUGGUUUCAAUGAGUUUUUUUUUUUUUUUUUUUGGUGUUUGGUUUCAUCGAAUGAAUUCUAAAAUUUUUGAACCAUCUUUAGAUCAUACUUUUUCUAAUGAAAAGUUUGUGCUAUUCACUAAGGCUGUUGGGUACUAUGUAAUUUUGAUGAUUGACAAACUGACACAUGAAUGAAACAUGUUACUUGAGUUGGUCCACGCAUAGGAAAGAACAUCUCCAGUUUCACUGAUAGAUGCAGACAAGAUUGCUUAAAGACAAGAACGAAUAAGCAAGUUUAAUUCUGAUAUACUCAAGCUACUCAUCAUAUGGGGAAUAUAACAAGUUGAAUUUGAUUCAAACAUUUAAUGAUAAGGGAAAGCAAUUUGAGUUGAAAAAUGAGUCCUACUUGAAGAAGGAGUUUCACUUCUGAGUAUAUCUUGAAGAGUCCUAUGUGUGGGAGGAGAAAAAUUCUGAUAAAUAAACAUAUGCUGAUUUAAAAGGGUUGAAGUUUUACUACAACACUAAGGAAACAAGAGUUGGAAUUAAAGAAAGAGUCUCACUUGAAGUAGAACUCUAUGCAAUGAGAGUUCUAAUUAAAGGAGGAGUUUGAAAUAAAGAAUGACUCUUUGAAGAGCUGUGCUUAAAUCGAAGAUGCAUUAGUCAGAAUAAGACACACACUUAAAAAGCAGAAAAGCACAAAUGACAGAUUGACUUUUCGAAGUGCUACUCAAUCACUGAAGAAACAUGUUGAAGAACCUGGUCCUCAGUACAGAAUUCAGCUAAGAGUUUUAGCUUUGAUUUUUAGAGUUGUUCAUUGUGUUUGAACUAUUGAUGUAAUAUUAGUUUCAGUGUGUUAUAAACAGAACUAGGAGCUAGUCUUCGAGUUGGGAAAACUCAGAGACUUUGGGAACGCAUACCUUGGGAGGUGUGUAUGUAGUUAGGAAUUGGAGUUUAUAAUUCCUAGUUGUUGAGUUAUAAGAAUUAGAGUUUAUAAUUCCUAUUUGUUGGUUACAAGAGUUUUGUAAUCAGUCAUUGUUGAGACUCAGAGUUAUUUACUAAAGUUGGGGUUAAAUCCCAUAAAGGUGCAGGUAGUGAUUUUUUUUACACCUUUUGAGUCGGGUGUUUUCCACGUAAAAAUCUACUGUGUUCUUUACUUUCUGUUUUACUGCUUUCGUGGAACACAUCAAGCAACCCGUUCCAUCAAUAGGCAACAGUUAGGAGAAAAUAAGAUAAUUAGUAGGGCACGAAUUCUUAACAAGUGGUAUCAAAGCGAGGUUGUCUUAAAAAGGGCUAGCACCUAAGACAAAGAUCAAUAUGAUGAAUUUCGCACCACCUACUGGUCACAGUGAAUGUCAAUCCACUAUUAAACCUCCACUCUUUGAUGGUUCUCACUUCAUUUGGUAGAAAGCUAGGAUGGAAACAUUCAUUCAAGGCGAAGACUACGAGUUAUGGGAUAGGAUCACUGAUGGUCCUACUAUUCCAAUGAAGCUAGAAGAUGGGAAACAGGUCAAGAAAGUAAGAAAUGAAUUCACUCCUAAUGACUUAUUGGCAUUAAAGAAAAAUGCUAAGGCCAAAAACAAUUUGGUCUGUGGAUUAGGACCUGCUGAAUACAACAGAGUAUCAACAUGCACCACUGCUAAGAAAAUUUGGGAUGCUCUAGUAAAUGCUCAUGAAGGUAUAUCUCAAGUAAGAAAAUUCAGAAUUUCUCUUCUCUUCACUGAGUAUGAGGCAUUUAAGAUGAAGGAGAAUGAAACCUUGUAUGAGAUGAUGACAAAGCUUAUUGCCUUAACAAAUGAGCUGACCUACUUAGGAAAAAUUAUCUCUAAAGAGUAACAAGUCGAGAAGGUACCGAGGUUAUUACCAGAAUCAAAGUGGAAUGUUAAGAUAACUAUAAUCAGGGAAGCAAAUAAGGAUCUUGCAGGCAUGACCCUGGAUGAAUUAGUAGGGAAUUUAAGAACUUAUGAAAUGGAAAUUGAUGGAACUAAAAUGGUAGCAGCUUGGGAAUUUGACUUAGAUGAUGAUGAAGUUGAUGAAGCAGCACUCAUGGCUCUUGGAGAUUCAAACUUGGAGGAAGAAGAUUAUGCUAAUGAGGUAAGUAUAUUUGAACUUAAAGAAAAGUUGCAUUUGUUUUCUAAAACAAAACUUAUUUCCUUGAUGAGUGCACUAAUGGAUGACUUCCAAGAAUCAACUUCUGAUAGGGAUGAGCUAUUCAACAGUCUUGCAAGAAUCAAAUUUAAUUUUAUUGAUUUAGAAGCUUGCAAGAACACUGUUGAAUAGGAAAACUGCUCUCUCAAGAAACGGUUGAGCAACUUUAUUCUUCAAAUAAUGAUCUUAAUUCUAAAGCUCUAAAAUUGACACUCUCUGAAAAAGGAAAAAACACCAAGAGUAAAGAACAAGAAAAAGUUAAAUUUGAAUUGGUCAAGUACAAAGAAGAGUGCAAGAACGCAACAAAAAUAGUGAAUAAACUAAGUCAAGAAGUCUCUAAACUAAAACUUGAACUUGAAAGAGCAAACAAGUGGACAAAUUCCUCAAGAAUUGUUCAUAAGUUGAGUGAAAGAUAUCACAGUGAAAAAGCUGGGUUGGGUUUUCAAAAAGUCUUGAUGUUUAUCAAGACUUGUGCUAUAUCUGUGGAAACCUUGGACAUCCAACCACUGAAUAUCCAGUUGCUGCCAAAAGCAGAUCCAACAGUCUAAAUUUGGAAAAUAAAUUAUCUCAGACCAAGAAAAGGAUAACUAAAACUAGUCAGAGAAACGGGUCACAUAACCUGUUGCUUGCAUGGGCUAGAAGAAAUUUGGUUCAUCCAUUUACUUAUAAGAAAGGACCCAAGCUUGUCCGGGUGCCUAAAGUUAACCCCUAAUUUGUUUUGCAGGUGAGAGUGAAAGGAGGUAAGCAAAAUUUGUGCAAAAAUAAAGCUUGCUCAAGGCAUAAUACUAGAAGAAAAUAAAGUUUCCUUCACUUACCACAUUUAAAGGGGGAAUGGAUCAUUUGAAAAAUAACCAGAUUUGUAGUGCUCGUGUAAGGGGGAAGCAAGGAAGAUUUUAUUUAAAAAAAAAUGAGAAAAGAGGAUGACUGUGAAACUGAUGAGCAUGCACAGGAACAUAUUGUACCACCUGGUUCAACUGUUGUACAGACUAAGGACAUAUUGAUAGGGGAACAAUAAAUAAAGAAAUGGAUGUAUCAAUAAAACCAACACAAGUUGCUGGUAAUUUUGUUAGUAGUUCAUAAAAAUUGAUGUUGUCAAAAGAAUCUUGAGAUAUCUCAUGGGAAUCAAUGGCUUCAGACUAUGGUUUCCAAAGGAAAGCAAUUUAACUCUUGAGGGCUAUAAAAAUAUUGACUAUGUAAGCACCAAAGGCACUAAGUAGAGAGCAUUUUGAAAGGAAUAUGUUAGACUUGAGGAUGAUUAAAAUUGCAUGAACUCCCCUCAAUAAUUGACUAGAAUAAUCAUUUUUUUCUUAAUCUUAUUAGUUAAAAAGUUAUUCUAUUCACUCUUGCACAUUUAGUUGUGUGUCCCAAUUCCAAAUUUUUGACUUUUCUAACCUAAUUUUGUAUUAGAUUGUGCAGAAAAAUAGGUACAAGCAAGCAACUGUGACCACAAAGUUCUUAGUAGGUAUGUUCUUCAAUGACAUAAGUAUAGGCUGUCUAAGUUGAAAUAGUUGAGCACACCUAUUCAAUUCCUCAUACUUCAUUCUCCCCUUGUCUUAUAAAGAUGAUGAAUUGGUUGACCAAACUUUCUUUGAUUCUCUCCAAAUGGUUGUGCACAAAUAUGUUAAUACUACACCAGAAAUUCCUUUUUUUCUGUCAACCAAAAUAUCAGUUGUGUAUCAUGGAUUUUCCAAGCUUGAUCAUCAAUCAUAUGCAACAUAAGUUUUUUAAGAAAUGAAAAGGGAUAUGAUCUCCCUUUUAGUUCCUAAUUGGUUAUUUCUUUUGGAUUUCUCAGUCCUAGUUCAGGUUGAAUUAGAAAAUAACAAUAGAUGUUCUUGCACAGAUGAAUCAUGUUGCUCUACCAGUUUCAAUAAGGAGGGCUAACACUAAAAAAAUUGAAAAAAAUAAUUUGGGUAAAAAAAAACCAUCUGAACUUGAAGCUGCACAAGAUAGUCAUGAAGUGGAAUAAGUGGUCCUUCAUGCUUGGUUCAUGACUUUGAAGCUUGAACUUGAUUGAGGGAUGAAAAUGUUAAAGUCAUUCAUCAAUUGACACAGUUGAUAUCACCUGUUCCUUUUUUCUCUUCACUAUUUGUAUCCUUAUCCAUGUCCCACUUUUAUACCAUAUUUUUUUAUUAAUGCUCAGUUGUUUUACUUUGUUCAGUACUAGCUUAGGUUAAUGUGGAACAUGAUCUGUCAGUUAAAUGGAAUGGUUCUAUUUGCUAAAUUGACUAAUUUUUGCUCUCUUUCAUACAUUACUAUGUUGGCUAGAGUCUUUGUCUGAUUGUUUUGGUGAUAGACCCAAUGGUCAUGGAUAGCAUAACGAAUCACUUUGGCUAGUAUAUUAUUGCAUUGAAAUAAUUUUUCGAUGAUGCCAAAAGGGGGAAGAUAAUAGGGUUGUGUAAUGCUUAUAACCCAUUGACUAAAUUAUUUCAUUCUAGUGUUUCAUACUUUAGUACCUACAGGUGAAGAUCGUUGAAUGCACAAGACAAGAGGUUUGUCAUCAUAAAAAAAAAAAGAAAUUUGUUGGGUACUAUGUAGUUUUGAUGAUUGACAAACUGACACAUGAAUGAAAUAUGUUACUUGUGUUGGUCCACGCAUAGGAAAGUAGAUUUCCAGUUUCACUGAUAGAUGUAGAAAAGAUUGCUUAAAGAAAAGAACGAAUAAGCAAGCCUAAUUCUGAUAUACUCAAGAUUCUGAUCAUAUGGGGAAUAUAACAAAUUGAAUUUGAUUCAAAUACUUAAUGAUAAGGGAAAGCAAUUUGAGUUGAAAAAUGAGUCCUACGUGAAGGAGUUUCUCUUCUGAGUAUAUCUUGAAGAGUCUUAUGUGUGGGGGGAGAAAGAUUCUGAUAAAUAAACAUGUGCUGAUUUAAAAGGGUUGUAGUUUUACUACAACACUAAGGAAACAAGAGUUGGAAUUAAAGAAAGAGUCUCACUUGAAGUAUAACUCUAUGCAAUGAGAGUUCUAAUUAAAGGAGGAGUUUGAAAUAAAUAAUGACUCUUUGAAGAGCUGUGCUUAAAUAGAAGAUGCAUCAGUCAGAAUAAGACACGCUCUUAAAAAGCAGAAAAUCACAAUCGACAGAUUAAAUUUAUGAAGUACUACUCAAUCACUGAAGAAACGCGUUGAAGAACCUAGUCCUCAGUACAGAAUCAAGCUAAGAGUUUUAGCGUUGAUUUUUAGAGGUGUUCAUUAUGUUUGAACUAUUGAUUUAAUAUUAGUUUCAGUAUGUUAUAAACUGAACUAGGAGCUAGUCUUCGAGUUGGGAAAACUUAGAGACUUUGGGAACGCAUACCUUGGGAGGUAUGUGUGUAGUUAGGAAUUAGAGUUUAUAAUUCUUAGUUGUUGAGUUAUAGGGAUUAGAGUUUAUAAUUCUUAUUUGUUGGUUACAGGAUUUUUGUAAUCAGUCGUUGUUGUGGCUUAGAGUUAUUUACUGAAGUUAGGGUUAAAUCCUGUAGAGGUGCAGGUCGUGGUUUUUUACACCUUUUGAGCUGGGUGUUUUCCACGUAAAAAUCCACUGUGUUCUUUACUUUCUAUUUUACUGCUUCUGUGGAACACGUCAAGAAACCUGUUCUAUCAAUAGACAACAAUUAGGAGAAAAUAAGAUAAUUAGUAGGGCACAAAUUCUUAACAAAGGCUACUCGCCAAUCUUACCAUUUCGGAGUUUAAGCUCCUUAAUUUUUUCCUCUCUUUUCCUAUUUGCAUUAGGUAAUUUAGAAAUGACUUUCUAUUUCGUGUUGGGUGUCAUAUCUUUUAAUCAAGCGUUCUCUUUUUCCCUAUUAAUUUGGUCUAAAGCUUUAGUUUUCAAGCUUACUUGGAUAAUGACUUGAAAUAACUAGUGAUUGUAACUGGAUUAAGUGGGAGUUCAAGUGGAAUUAAUAUGUAGUUUGAGUGUGUGUUAAGGAAUGUAGAGUUUGAUGAUAGACAUGUGAAUGAAAUAUGUUGUGAAAGCUGGACCAUUCAAGUGUACAAAGAAAAGCUGCUGGCAAGGCUACUGAUAAAAUGAUACUGCGCAUAGAUAGGAGUGGAUAAGAAAGAAUAUUCAGGAACCUUCUCAAAAAAUUAUCACUUCAGUAAAGUGGAAGAAAAAUUCAAUAUUCAUAAGUUGAGUUGUUCUAGAAGUCCAACAAUGUGAAGAGUUCUGCAAGGAUAAAAGAUAAAGCAAAAGAGUCCUAUUCAACCAGGAAAGGAGAAACGGCUACAAUAAGGAGUGAAGUUGCUUGAUAGAAGAGAGAAAAAGAAAGAAGCAUAAAUCAAUAAGGACUCUAUCACAGGAGUAAUUAUCAGGGUGCAUGUAUACAACAAAGCACGAUCAAGUAAUUCACUCAAUACACUGAAAAGAAAAUCAGCAUAACAAUUCACCUAUUUGGAGAAGAACCUGGUCCCUUACUUAGCAAGUCGUAGACUAUGUAGUAGGUAGGUUCUUUGUGUUGUAAUAAGUCAUUGUUCUAGUCUUAGUGAUCUAUAAACUGAGUUAGGAAUUGUGUCUUCAAGUUGGGAACUCGAAAACUUGGGAACACUUGUCUUGAGAAGAUUUAUGUUUUUGUAGCGAUAAGAGUUAGAAGUUUUAAUUCCUAGUUAACAAGAAGUCUUGUAUUUCUAUUGAUUGUUGUGUCUCAAGUAUUAUGGUGAAUUUGGGGUUAAAUCCUAUAGGGGUACACGUCAUGGUUUUUAACACCUUUCUUGAGCCGGGUGUUUUCCACGUAAAAACACUAUGUUUAGUAUUUACUUCUGUGAACCACGUUUACUUACUUGUUCCACAGAUAGGCAAUUAGUAGGGCUCAUAAUAUAACAAGUGGUAUCAGAGAGAGAUUUUCUUAAAUAAGGCUUAUACCUAAGAAAAGAUCAAUAUGAUGAAUUUCACACCUCCUACUACUCACAGUGAAGUUCAGUCAACUACUAGACCUCCACUUUUUGAUGCCUCUCAUUUUAUCUGGUGGAAAGCAAGAAUGGAGAUGUUCAUUAAAGGUAAAGAUUAUGAACUAUGGGACAAGAUUACUGAUGGUCCCACUAUUCCAAUGAAGACGAUUGAUGGUGGACAAUUUAAGAAAGUUAGGAGUGAAUUUACUCCAGAUGACUUGUUGUCUUUGAAGAGAAAUGCAAAGGCCGAGAAUAUCUUGGUCUAUGGACUAGGACCUGCUGAAUACAAUAGGGUAUCUACUUGCACUAAUGCAAAAAAAAAAUUUGGGAUGUACUGGUAAAUGCUCAUAAAGGCACUUCUCAAGUAAGAAAUUUCAGGAUCUCUCUCCUUUUCACUGAGUAUGAGGCAUUUAAAAUGAAGAAAAAUAAAACCUUGCACGAAAUGAUAACUAGGCUUACCACUUUAAAAAAUGAGCUGACUUCCCUAGGAAAAGUCAUCUCUGAGUAAGAAUAAGUUGAAAAGGUACUGAGGGUAUUACCAAAAUCAAAAUGGAAUGUCAAGGUGACUGCAAUCAGAGAGGCGAAUAAGGAUCUUGAAGGUAUGACUCUGGAUGAACUAGUAGGGAACUUAAGGACUUAUGAAAUGGAAGUUGAUGGAGUCAAAGAACGAGUAGCUCCUGAGAAAAUCUUAGCAUUGAAGGCUUCUGAGAGUGAUGAUGAAUUUGAACUUGAUAAGAAGCAAGUUGCCUUCAUAACUAAGAACUUCUGCAAAUUCUUUAAGAAGAAGAAGGGAACAGGUACUAAGAAAUGUUUCAAUGACAAUCCAAAUGGGUGUUACAAAUGUGACAAAAUUGAUCAUCAGAUUAGGGACUGUCCAGUCUGGGAAAUGGAAUGGAAAAGGGAAAGGGCUGAAAAAGAACUGAAGGCAAAAAGGAAAGUGGAGCAUGCAAUGAUAGUAGCCUGGAGGAUCUAAGUCUAAUAAAGAUAAAGUUGAUGAAACUGCAUUCAUGGAUCUUAGGGAUUCAGAUCUAGAUGAAAAAGAUGAGGACUCUGAGGUAAGUAUACUCGAACACAAAGAAAAACUGAAAUUGUUCUCUAAGUCAAAACUUAUUUCUUUGAUGAAUGCAUUGAUUGAUGAUUUCCAAGAGUUAACCUCUAAUAGGGAUGAAUUGUUCAAUAGUCUGGCAAGUCUUAAAUUUGAUCUCAUUGAUUUAAGGGCUUGCUCAGAUAUAGUUGACAAGGAAAGUUACAUAAUCAAGAAACAGGUUGCAGAACUUGAGAUUUCAAACAAUGAUCUCAGGUCUAAAGUUUACAAAUUAACUCUCAUUGAAAAUAUAAAGAAGACAAUGAGUAAUGAACAAGAAACUGCUAAACUUGAGCUUGUUAAAUACAAACAAGAAUGCCAUGAUUUAACUGAAAAAUUGAAUGAGUUGAAUUAGGAAAUAUCUAAACUCAAAUUGGAUCUUGAAAGGGCUAACAAGUGGAUAAACUCCUCUUGAAUUGUUCACAAAUUAAGUGAGAAAAAAUUCAAUGAAAAGGCAGGUUUGGGAUUCCAUAAAAGUUUUGAUAAUCCAAACGAUUUAUGUUUCAUUUUUGGAAACCUUGGACAUCCCACCACUGAAUGUCCAGUAGCUGCGAAAAACAGAUUAGCCAGUCAAAAUCUGGCUAACAGAUCUUCUCAGACCAAAAAGAACAAAACCAAUUCUGGUCAGAGAAAUAGGUUGCACUACAUGUUGCCAGCAUGGACUAAGAAAAAUUUAAUUUAUCUUUUCACUCAUAAAUCAGGACCCAAGCUUGUCUGGGUUUCUAAGGCUAACCUUUGAAUUUUUUUGCAGAAGAAGGUGAAAGGAAACAAAAGGCACUGGUAUUUGGAUAGUUCUUGCUCAAUACAUAUGACUGGUGAUAAGAAAAAAUUUCUUUCACUAUCCAAAAUAAAUAGAUAUGAGUCUCUUUUAGAGAUAGAAAAAAGGAAAUCAUAACUGGAGUUGGAAAAAUUGGCUCAUCUGAGUCAAAAGCAUUAGAGGAUGUCUAUCUUGUAGAAGGAUUAAAGCAUAAUCUGCUGAGUAUCUCUCAGCUGUGUGAUAAAGGUAAUAAAGUUACUUUUACUGCUGCUGCAGGAGUCAAGGUCAAAAUGAUGGAUACUAAAGAGGUUGUGCUCACUGCAAGGAGAUAUAAAAAUGUAUGCAAAGUUGACAUCAUGGCGCUACCAGGACCAGAGCUGACUUGUCUAAGUGCUAUGGAAAAUGAUCCCCUCCUUUGGCACAUAAGACUUGGUUAUGCAAGUCUGAAACAACUCAACAUACUUUCAUCCAAAGACAUGGCAUUGGGAUUACCCAAGACCAAGUUCAAGGAAUAAAAGCUAUGUAGUGCAUGUGUAUAGGGAAAGCAGGUAAGAUCCUCUUUUAAGUCAAAGAACCAUGUUAGUACUACCAAGUACCUUGACCUGGUUCAUAUAGACUUAUGUGGACCCAUGAGACUUCAAAGUAGAGGUGGAAAAAGGUAUGUGUUUGUAAUUGUUGAUGACUAUUCCAGGUUUACUUGGACUUUUUUUCUAGCCUCUAAAGAAGAUGCCUUUGAUGUUUUUGAAAUCUUCACUAAGAAAAUUGAAAAGAAACUGGGUACUUCUUUAGUUUCCAUAAGGUCUGACCAUGGUUCAGAAUUUGAGAAUGUAAAAUUUUUGAAAUACUAUUCAGCAAAUGGUAUAGAUCACAACUUCUCAAUUCCUAGAACACCACAACAAAAUGGAGUGGUGGAAAGAAAAAAUAGAACCUUGGAAGAUAUGGCUAGAACAAUGAUGCUUGCAACAAAUAUUGCUAAAAAUCUUUGGGCUGAGGCUAUAAGUACUGCAGCAUAUAUCAUAAAUAGAUGCAUAUCAGGCCUUUGUUAGGAAAGACUCCAUAUGAAUUACUAAAAGGAAGAAAGCCUAACAUCUCUCACCUUAGAAUCUUUGGAUGUAAAUAUUUCACACAUAAUAAUGGAAAGGAUAAUUUGGAAAAAUUUCAUGCUAAAAGUGAUGAGAGAAUCUUCUUAGGAUAUUCACUUCAUAGUAAGGUCUAUAGGGUUUUAAAUAACAAAACUAAAUGUGUUGAAGAAAGCAUGCAUGUAAUCCUUAAUGAAUCCUAUGUUAAGACUAACCUGCAGGAAGGAAGUGACAUGGAGGAAUAGGUUAUACAACCCGGUGCAUCAACUGGUGCUACCAAAUAUGGAGAUAUUUCGAUAGGGGGAACUGAAGCUGAGGGAACAGUGAUAGGGAGAACUGAGCAUACCCCAGCUCAGCACAUUAACAAUGAUCCUAUAGAAUGAAAUGCCUUCAUCAUAUCAAUCUUCAAACAUGCAAGUACUAAACAUGCAACAGAACCAACAAAGCAUAAAAUAUCAUACAUAAUAUAUUUUGACUGCAUCAACAUUGAUAUCCAUUCCUGUCAGAUAUUGAGCCAAAGAAGAUAACUAAAGUAUUGCUUGAUGCUGAUUGGAUCAUAGCCAUGCAGAAAGAGUUGAAUCAAUUUGAGAGAAGCAAAGUAUGGGACUUUGUUCCUCUCCCUAAAGAUAGAUCAGUAAUUGGAAAUAAAUGGGUGUGUAGAAAUAAAGUUGAUGAGCAAGGAACAGUUAAAAGAAAAAAGACAAGAUUGGUGGUUCAAGGAUACAAUCAAGAAAAAGGAAUUGACUUUGAUGAGACUUUUUAUCCUGUAGCAAGACUUGAAGCUAUAAGAUUACUUGUUGCUUUUGCUGCACACAUAGAUUUUAUCGUUUAUCAAAUGGAUGUGAAGAGUGCCUUCCUAAAUAGCAUUCUCAAGGAGGAAGUGUAUGUUAAACAACCUCUAGGAUUUGAAAGCAAGGAGUUUCCAGAUCAUGUGUACAAAUUGGAUAAAGCCUUGUAUGGAUUGAAACAAUCUCCAAGAGCUUGGUAUGAGAGACUGUCAAAGUUUCUAUUGGAACAUGGACAUACCAGAGGUAAAAUUAAUAAUACCCUCUUUAUGAAAACUAAUGGGAAGGAUUUGUUAGUUGUGCAGGUGUAUGUGGAUGAUAUUAUUUUUGGCUCAACAAAUAUGAAUAUGACUCAUAAGUUUGCCAAACUCAUGAGUUGUGAAUUUGAGAUGAGCAUGAUGGGAGAGCUGAAUUACUUCUUGGGUUUGCAAAUAAAGCAGUCAGCUUUAGGGACAAUGAUUUACCAAUAGAAGUAUGUCAAAGAGCUUCUCAAGAGAUUUUUCAUGAAAGAGGCAAAAGAGACAAGUACUCCUAUUGCCACUGCCACAAAGUUAGAGUUAGAUAAAACAGGUUCAGAGUUAGAUAAAACAGGUUCAGAUGUAGAGCAAAAGAUGUAUAAAGGUAUGAUUGGGUCAUUAUUAUACCUCAUAGCAAGCAUGCCUAACAUUGUGUUCAGUGUUGGUCUAUGUGAUAGGUUUCAAGCAAAACCCAAAGAAUCUCAUCUAAAAUCUGUGAAGAGAAUCUUCAGAUACUUGAAGGGAACCAGUGAUCUUGGCUUAUGGUACCCCAAAUGAAGCAACUUUAAUCUGAUAGGUUACUCAGAUGCUGAUUAUGUAGGAUAUCUGGUGGACAGGAAAAGAACUACAGGAAUGGCACACUUUCUUAGAUCAUGUUUGAUUACCUGGUCCACUAAGAAGCAAAAUUCAGUUGCUCUAUCUACUGCUAAAGCUGAAUAUGUUGUUGUAGGAUCCUGUUGUACUCAAUUACUAUGGAUUAAGCAAUAACUCAUGGAUUUUGGUAUAGAUGUUGGUUGUGUUCCUAUUUUUUGUGAUAAUACCAGUGCUAUUAACAUAGCUAAAAAUCCUGUUCAACAGAACCAAACAUAUUGAUAUUAGGCAUCACUUUCUUAGAGAUAAUGUUGAAAAAGGUAAUAUAUCCAUUAUGUUUUGUUUUACUGAGGAAUAGAUUGCUGACAUUUUCACUAAGGCCUUGAGUAGAGAACACUUUGAAAAAAAUAGGUUAGCCUUGGGGAUGAUUAAAAUUGCAUAAGUCUCCCUCAAUGAUUGACUAAAAUAAGUUGACUUUACAAAUGAUUGUUAAUCAAUUUAGUCUCACACAUUAAGUUGUGUAUCCUAAGUCCAAGAUUUUAGAGUAUGGUUGAUUAAUAUGUGUGUGUUGAUUUUGCAGAAAGCCUUGAUUACAGAAGCAAUUUUGUUUAUUUUGUCAUUCAGGUAUGCUUAUUAUUACUUCAAAGUAGCUUAAAGAGAAACAAGUUGUUUUCCUGGUUCCUUAUUGGUCCAUUUAAACCGCCAAAAUACAAAGAGCCCCUUUCCUGUCAAAAAGCUGCCACUUUCUUUCCCAUUAGGACUGAAACACUUAUCAUUACGUUCUGUCAAAUACAGUCCCUCACCUCUUAAACUUCCUCAUCUUUUUUCUCUUAAAUACGUUUUUGAUUGUCUUGUUUCUACACUAAAAAUUCUCUGCACCUUCUUCAUACUCAAGAAUACCUUCUUGAUUCAACAAUGGCAUCAUCUUCUUCCUCUUCUUUUCCCCCCUCCACUGACUCUAUUCUAAAUCCUUUCACUACACUUAUCCUUCAUCCAAACAUCACCUUACCUCCCUUAAUUCCUUCUUCACUCUCCCAAAAAUUCACCAAUUUUGUUACUUUCAGAAAUUUCCCAAACCCUUUUGCCCAAAUUUCUUGACCUUCUCUAUUAUCUUUGAAACCUUUCUUUCCUCCUCCUAUACCACUCCAAAUUAUUGAAGAUGAUGAUAAUCCUAGUGACAGAUAUGAUAUUCCUAUUGCAGAGUUAAUCCCCAGAAGGUUAAGGUCCAAGUUCCCAAGAAAACCCCCUUCCAUUCCUAUCACUGUUCACAACACUGCCCUUUAUAGCCUUCUCCAAAUGUAGCUAUCCCUCGCACUCCUCACACUCGAGGAAGAAAACAAUGAGAAGAUGCAUCCUUGGCUGAGGCUCUUCGAGCCAAUAAAAAGAAACGUGUGUCUACAUUUGAUUCCAACCUGACUCGUGCAUCUUCUCCUUAUCUUCUACUUUGAUCUAUCAGAAAGAUAAAAACUAUCAUGGCCAAAGUUCUAAACCCUCGUUGCCCAUGAAAUCCUCUUCUAAACCUGCUCAAAAGGCCUCUUGCUCUUCGAAAUUUCCUUCUACUGUCAAAGGAUCCUCCUCGUCAAAAGUUUCCCCUUCCAAGAUUUCUACUCGUCUCAAUAAAUAGGUUACCCCACCUAUUCUUUCUGACUCAUCUGACUCUAAAUUUACUCCAGAUGCUAAUGAUGAGUUAGAACCUGAGUUUGAAGUUCCCCAUUCAUCUUCUUAUCAGGAUAAUCCUGAGGCUCAACAUCUUCACUUUCAAAAGAGGAAAUUAGCUAGAGGAAGGGUUGUUAGUGGUUUUGGGGGGCUGAUAUGCAAGUGUUACUGGGAAAAUUAGAGUUUCAAGGUCGUUCACAUUUAUUUCUUCAGGGUGAUAUUUGCAAAGCCUAAAGUGUAUGAGUUUUAUAUGAAUGGGUGAAAAUUGGUGAGUUGUUCUCCACCACUGUCAGAAAGGUUACCAAGAACCUUUAUGUUGCUGACAUUGCUCGAAUUUUACGUAUUCCCUCUGGGGGAUGAGGUCACUAUGUCAAGGGUGCCUGGAGUCCUCUGGAUAAUCUUGCUUCUUCCCUCAACAUAUGUAGAAAGGAAAUUCUAACUUGCUCCACCAUAAAAGAAUCCUUAAGGGGGAGAUGUCCCUAUUACAUCAGCUCUAUUUUGAUUUGAUCGAUAAAAUGAUUAUCCCUAGGAAAGAGAGACGGUGUGUGGUUAGUUUUCUUGGUCUUACACUCAUGCAAAGGGUUUUACUUAAGGAAGUGAAUGGACAUGCUCUACUUUAUCAAUUCUGGCUCACCCCCAUAUUUGAGGACUUUGGUGUUUCUAUUUAAUUUUGGUCUUCACAGACUACCAAAGAUAUCAUAGGGCAUGUGAAUCAUAUGAUGCUACCUUUUUCCAUGAAGAGUGCUGAUAAUCCGAUGCAAAGAUUGAGAAAUUCACUGGCAGAGAAACAAACUGAGGUAGAAAUUGCUCAGGCAGCUUUGGAGGCUGUACAAGCUACUCACGAAGAAGAAAAAGGGAUUCUGCAUGCUCAAAUUGCUUCCCUUAAUUCCUUGUUAGAAAAAGAGAGAGCUGAAAAUGCAGAUGUUAUUCGGAAACUCACCUCUUUUAUUCCCUCCUCUUCUUCUACUUAGUAUCUUCACUGAUAUCUUAAGCCUAUCUUCUUUUGUUCUUUUUCUUGACAGCUUGUUCUUUCUUAUUUUACUUUUUGGUAUAUGCAGUCAUCUCUACAAAUGAAUGAAAUGGGCUUAGUUGUUCUACUAUUUUCUGUUCCUGCUUUAUCAUAUUGCAUUCAUGUUCCCUUAUUCUGAAUUUUGAUUGUCUUGGUGAUAGCCUCAAUGGCCAUGAAUUAUUAAAUUUUUCUCACUUGUUGAUCCAGCUUUUUGAUAAUGUCAAAAGGGAGAAGAGUAGAGUAGGCUAUGCUAUUCUUAUAACUCAAUGACUAACCUGUUUCAUUCUGUUCUAGUCUUUUAUUCAAUGCCUUAUUGAGUAGGUCAGGUUCUGUGAUGUGCUGCUAUGUUUUUCAUCAACAAAAAAG
rnacentral:lncRNA from 1 species